GACGAACGCUGGCGGCGUGCUUAACACAUGCAAGUCGAACGGAAAGGCUCCAGCUUGCUGGAGUACUCGAGUGGCGAACGGGUGAGUAACACGUGGGUAAUCUGCCCUGCACUCUGGGAUAAGCCUGGGAAACUGGGUCUAAUACUGGAUAUGACCUUUCUCCUUAUGGGGUUUGGUGGAAAGUUUUUCGGUGUAGGAUGAGCCCGCGGCCUAUCAGCUUGUUGGUGGGGUGAUGGCCUACCAAGGCGACGACGGGUAGCCGGCCUGAGAGGGCGAUCGGCCACAUUGGGACUGAGAUACGGCCCAGACUCCUACGGGAGGCAGCAGUGGGGAAUAUUGCACAAUGGGCGGAAGCCUGAUGCAGCGACGCCGCGUGAGGGAUGACGGCCUUCGGGUUGUAAACCUCUUUCAGCAGGGACGAAGCGUAAGUGACGGUACCUGCAGAAGAAGCACCGGCUAACUAUGUG
rnacentral:rRNA from 1 species